GAACGCGAAGAACCUUACCCGGUCUUGAGAUCCUCCUGAAUACAGGGUAAUGCCUGUAGUCCUUCGGGACAGGAGAGACAGGUGGUGCAUGGUUGUCGUCAGCUCGUGUCGUGAGAUGUUGGGUUAAGUCCCGCAACGAGCGCAACCCCUAUUUUUAGUAGCCAGCGGUUAGGCCGGGCACUCUAGAAAGACUGCCGAGGAUAACUCGGAGGAAGGCGGGGAUGACGUCAAAUCAUCAUGCCCCUUAUGACCGGGGCUACACACGUGCUACAAUGGCAGUUACAGAGGGAAGCGAAGGCGUGAGCCGGAGCGAAUCCCAGAAAGGCUGCCUCAGUUCGGAUUGUAGUCUGCAACUCGACUACAUGAAGCUGGAAUCGCUAGUAAUCGCGAAUCAGAAUGUCGCGGUGAAUACGUUCCCGGGUCUUGUACACACC
rnacentral:rRNA from 1 species